UGGGGAAUAUUGCGCAAUGGGGGAAACCCUGACGCAGCAACGCCGCGUGAAGGAUGAAGGUUUUCGGAUCGUAAACUUCUUUGAUGAGGGACGAACAAAAUGACGGUACCUCAAAAACAAGCCACGGCUAACUACGUGCCAGCAGCCGCGGUAAUACGUAGGUGGCGAGCGUUGUCCGGAAUUACUGGGUGUAAAGGGCGUGUAGGCGGGGAUGUAAGUCAGAUGUGAAAUUCCAUGGCUCAACUGUGGGGCUGCAUCUGAAACUAUGUCUCUUGAGUGCCGGAGAGGGAAGCGGAAUUCCUAGUGUAGCGGUGAAAUGCGUAGAUAUUAGGAGGAACACCAGUGGCGAAGGCGGCUUUCUGAGCGGUAACUGACGCUGAGGCGCGAAAGCGUGGGGAGCAAACA
rnacentral:rRNA from 1 species